rnacentral:rRNA from 1 species
AGCGAACGCUGGCGGCAGGCCUAACACAUGCAAGUCGAGCGCCCAGCAAUGGGAGCGGCAGACGGGAUAGUAACACGUGGGAACGUACCUUUCAGUUCGGAACAACCCAGGGAAACUUGGGCUAAUACCGAAUACGUCCGUAAGGAGAAAGAUUUAUCGCUGAAAGAUCGGCCCGCGUCUGAUUAGCUAGUUGGUGAGGUAAUGGCUCACCAAGGCGACGAUCAGUAGCNGGUCUGAGAGGAUGAUCAGCAUCACUGGGACUGAGACACGGCCCAGACUCCUACGGGAGGCAGCAGUGGGGAAUAUUGGACAAUGGGCGCAAGCCUGAUCCAGCCAUGCCGCGUGGAUGAUGAAGGCCUUAGGGUUGUAAAGUCCUUUCGGCGGGGAAGAUAAUGACGGUACCCGCAGAAGAAGCCCCGGCUAACUUCGUGCCAGCCGCCGCGGUAAU